AUGUGUUUCGCAUUCCUGCCGGCUUGUUUUCCGGCUCGGGGCGGCGGUUCCAAGGCAGCCAUGCGAGGAGCAAGCCCCCGGCGAGUUGGGGGGCCCGGGCCGGCCUCGGAGGGCUUCUCUGGGGAGGAAGGAGAAGUGACGCCGCCGAGGGAGAGCAGGAGGAGGAGGAGGAGGAGGAAGAGGAGGAGGAACAGCCAUGGCUUGCCAGGCCCCGAGAGAAGAAAGUUAAACUUCGGCGGGUGCUUCUGGCGGGCAUGGGGGGCGUUUCUCCUGCUUCAGCUCCACAUGUUGCAAGCCCUGGCACAAGACGAUGUCGCGCCCUAUUUCAAGACAGAACCAGGCUUGCCACAGAUCCAUCUAGAAGGGAACCGGCUUGUGCUCACGUGUUUGGCAGAAGGAAGCUGGCCGUUGGAAUUCAAGUGGCUGCAUAAUGGCUCUGAAACGACUGCCUUCUCCAGUGAAUACAAGUAAAUGGAAUGAGCUUUCAAUUACAUUAUUUACAGUUGCACUGAAGCGACAUCCUCAUUUUUGUCCUCGAGAUUGGCAAAAGAACACAGAAGCACUAUAGAAUUAAAAUUUAGGGAAUGAAAGUACCUUAAUCUAAUGUAGAACAUUAUUUUUAUUAGUUGAUGUUUUAUUAUAGUUACUUUCUUCUGUAUUAAGGUAUAAAU
rnacentral:lncRNA from 11 species